rnacentral:rRNA from 1 species
UACGUAGGGUGCAAGCGUUGUCCGGAAUUAUUGGGCGUAAAGAGCUCGUAGGCGGUUCGUCGCGUCGGCUGUGAAAUCCCGAGGCUCAACCUCGGGUCUGCAGUCGAUACGGGCGGACUGGAGUUCGGCAGGGGAGACUGGAAUUCCUGGUGUAGCGGUGAAAUGCGCAGAUAUCAGGAAGAACACCCGUGGCUAAGGCGGUUCUCUAGUACGGUACUGACGCUGAGACGCGAAAGCGUGGGGAGCGAACAGG